rnacentral:rRNA from 1 species
UACGGGGGGGGCAAGCGUUGUUCGGAAUUACUGGGCGUAAAGGGCUCGUAGGCGGCCAACUAAGUCAGACGUGAAAUCCCUAGGCUCAACCCAGGAACUGCGUCCGAUACUGGUUGGCUUGAAUCCGGGAGAGGGACGUGGAAUUCCAGGUGUAGCGGUGAAAUGCGUAGAUAUCUGGAGGAACACCGGUGGCGAAGGCGACGUCCUGGACCGGCAUUGACGCUGAGGCGCGAAAGCCAGGGGAGCAAACGGG